rnacentral:lncRNA from 8 species
GAAGUGAUUUAUGAUCUGAUUUAUACCUGCGACUGCUCUGCUCUUUUGUUCACCUGAAAUCCUCUCUUACACCUUAGUCACGUGAUUAGACCCAUCCUUCUUGUCGGAACUGUCAAACUGGUUAUGCCAUAAACAUAACCAACCACACAACCAGAUAAAGGGAGGUGGGGAGUGGUAGGCGGUGGUGCUGGAGAGUUGGACAAGACAUCCUCUUCAUUCUUUACACAGAUUUUGAGGUUUGAGGUCUUUUUUGUGUUCUUUAACAGUGCUUUCAAUUUGGAUUACGAAGCAUCUUUUGAACUAAGAAAACUAGAGGCAACCCAGGAAGAGGAAUACAAGACCAGGAAUGACAGUAAGCCUCAGAUAUACUGUAGAGAAAAGGAAGAGGAACAAAAUGAUGUACAAAGCAGUUCAUAGAUUUGCUUCAGGCUUCAUGCUGUAGGCUAUGGGAAGACUAUGAUAACCAACGAGUCAUUGAAACUCACUCAUACGACCACACGUUAUCAUUGACUCAGUGAAUAAGGUAAACCGUUUAAUAGUCACUGUGCUCUCUGCCACACAAAAUUAAUAUUGUAAAGACGUAGGUGAUAUAUAGAUAUACAUACAGUAUAUACACAUAUAAAGUCCAGCAGACACACAUACAUUUACACACGGACAAAUACAUAGACUGAAAGAACAUAAAGAACCAACACCCACACAAACUCCCAGAGGCAGCCAUGAGGGUUGUAUUGGUGCUAGGAGGCCUAACUAUCCUGGUCUCUAUGGGCCUGGCGCUGAUCGUCUUUGGCCAGCACCUGACAGAAGCCAAGCUGACCCUGCAGAACCUGCAUCUGGAUCAGAUGCAGCGGACGCGCGUCAACCAACUCAAGGAGAGGCAGUGGCUGGAAAACCUGCUGAAGGGGCAGCUAGACUGGAAGAAGAAGAAUGUGGAGGAGAUGGAGGCAGAGGUGAACAAACUGACCGAAGAGGAGGGGAAGAAGAAGACUGAGGUCGAGGCCUGCCAGGCAGACAAGAAACAAAAGGAGGAAGAACUUGCACCCAUACAGAAGGAGCAGAGUGAUAUUGAAGCGACGUUCAAAACUGAAAAGGAGGCUUGGACUGGGGAGAUCACCACUCUCAAACUGCAGUUGGAGCAGAGUAGCAAAGUGUGUGGUUUUGUAAAGGACUCAACAGAUACAGCGAAAUUAUGUCCACCCAAAGAAGGAGCAGCAAAACCUGAAGCGGCCCCUGUACAAGCUGAAGCGGCCCCUGUAAAAGCUGAAGCGGCCCCUGUAAAAGCUGAAGCAGCCCCUGUAAAAGCUGAAGCAGCCCCUGUAAAAGCUGAAGAGGCCGCUGUACAAGGUGAACCUGCAUCUGUAAAAGCUGAAGCAGCCCCUGUAAAAGCCGAAGAGGUCCCUGCACAAGCUGAAGCGGCCCCUGCUCCAAAGCAGUAAACGUCUCCAAAGAUACGGUGACAUUAUGCAUCACAAUAGUAAUUAUAUUACUAUUCAUUCGUGAUGCUCACUCAUAUUUAUGUUGUUUGUUUGUGGGUAAUCUUGUGGGUAAUCUUGUGGGUAAUCUUGGCAACCCAAUGUAAAUUACACCAUUUAUGUUAUAUAGUCUGUCCACAAGAGAUUAGGCUGUGGGCAUUGUCAAUGUGUCAGUUUGGCACACUAUGUCAAUGUGCCUAAAGUAAUUAGGUGCUGUUCGUUUUCAAAAACGUUUAAUAUCUUAUCAGUUUUUAAAUAAACGUUUUUUGUUUUUAAUUUCCAUUUUUAUAAAGCCUUUUAGUUAGGCACAGAAAACACGGAAAGAGAAAACACUGCUUUUCCCUGUUGGUGGUUCAUGUGAUGAAGAGGGUGGAACUCCUAUCAAACCUGCACAGUUCAAUACCAAUAUAACUUAGACCAUUAAAGUUUUAAUGUAGCUUACCUUAUCAUCAUCAUCAUUGACUGCCAGGGUAAAACAUAAUAUUGUAAAGCUGUUGGGUGUAAUCUGCCAGGUUAAAAUGGAGCCAGCUGGUGGAUGAGUAAUAUGUAAACAUAGGGUGACAGUGAGCAGCGAGCAAAAUGACCAUAGACGAGAUGUUGACAAUGGCUUAUUAAUAGGCAUAAAUACAUAGUAUUUCUAUGAUUGCAGUCCUCAAAGAUUGAAUUGCAAUGAAUCAAAUGAAUCAGAUUCAAUGGUUUACCGCCCAUAGGGCGGGUGCAGUUUUUUUGUGCUUUGGAAUGUUCGGUAUUCCUGGGAUACCAUGCUGUCACCAUGUAAAUUAUAUAAAAACAUUUAUAAAACGGGUUGUUUGGAUCCUGGAUGCUGACUGGUUGAUAGAAGGGAGUUAUAGCACAACAAUCCCCGCAUUCACCGGGUAAUGCCUGUUAACAGUUCCAUUUGAUUUAUCAAUGCGCAUCCACUAUCCACUAGCCUGGCUGACGUGACUCACGGUACCACACAGCACGGUACCACACAGCAGACUCACUGGUCUGGAAAGGAGGCCGUUUAUUACAGUUUUUCUCCAUUGGUUUGGCUCAUUUCUUGAAACAGAAAUUACAUUCUCAAAACUCUAAGAUCAUUUGGCAAAACAGUCUUACAGUUCAGCACAACACUAUAGCUCACUUGCAAAAGCUCAUAUCUCUCCUAAAACUGUUCACUCAUGCUUCAAAACUAAAUUCCUUUCCCAUAUAAAGAGUCAGUGCCACGAAAAUGGCAAAGAUCCUUCUCAAUUGCUUUGGCUAAUUUCUUGAAACAGACCGGACGUUUUCAACACUCUUGGUGCUUUAACCAAAACUAAAUUUCCUUCUCAUUUAAACAGUCAGUGCCCCCAAAAUGCUUCGUCCCUUUGGCAUUGUGUAAGCACUGCAAGUCAAAAUGUUUAGAUGUUUUGUCACUAUGGCAGAGGACCAUUGAAAUAUCCCUCAUGUCCACCUUUCAGUCUUAGCCCAGUCCUUCAUUGACAAUGGUUACUGUACUGUUUUUUGUCCAGCUAACAGAAUACAAUUGUGUAUAAAACUGAAAAAAAGAAAUAGGAUUUUAGGGUAAGAGUAGCCUCCAAGGUUUGACAUCACACAUUGCACUCAUACUGCCAAGGAAAUUGUAACCAUUAUCAUUCACACACAUAAAGUAACUUCCAUACAUCAGAGUAAAAAGAAAAUGUAUACAGCAUAAUAUACUGUAAUAUAAACACACAAACAAAAAACAAUGAAAAUUAUAUGCAGCCUACAGUGCUGUAAAUAAAGCUGGAGUUUCACAACUAACAGUUCUUCACUGGUCGCUGUCCUCACCCUCCUGGCCAUCCACACGCUGCUGUCUGUCUGGCCACAGAUUCUCGUCCACAUCACAGCGUAUAUGCUCCCUUGCGAUGCAACGAGGGAAGAAACGGCGUGCAUGUCGCAACCAUCCCCUACACUGAUCUCCUGUAAUAUCCUCACACGCAGCGUCCAUUGCAUGGAGCAGGGACCUCUGAUCUUGAGCCCGAUGCUCAUACACUCUCCACCUCCAAGCAGAGAAAUACUCCUCAAUAGGAUUGAGGAAAGGAGAGUAAGGUGGUAGGAACACCAUGACCAUCCUUGGAUGAGUAGUGAACCAGGCCCUGAUGAGCGGGCCACGGUGGAAAUUCACAUUGUCCCAUACAAUGACAUAUUGUGGUAGGUGAGGCCUUACGAGACCUCUCUCAUUUUCAGGGAUCAAAUCAAAAUGAAGGCGGUCCAAGAAGAUGAGGAGCUUCUGUGUAUUGUAUGGGCCAAGACUGGUGAUGUGAGUGGCCACACCAUUCUCAGAUAUGGCAGCACACAUAGUUAUAUUGCCCCCUCGCUGGCCUGGGACAUCCACCGUGGCCCGGUGGCCAAUAAUAUUACGGCCACGUCUUCGGCCCUUGGCCAGGUUGAAGCCAGCUUCAUCCACAAACACGAGGAUGUGAUGGGUCUCGUGCUCCUCGGCCUCUUCCCCCUAUUCCACCACCACGCACCCUUACUCCUCCUCCUCCUCUUCUUCUUCUUCCUCUUCCUCUUCCUCGAGCAGGCAGUUGCCCUUGUUCAUUUACUUGGCCAGGUGCCUCCAUGUUCAGAAAUUGUACUGGUCCUGCAUGGUCAAGCUCUUUACAUACAUGUUUGGCAGCAUUCACAGUCAUGGACAGCACCUGUCAGGUAACUAAUCAUACUGUUUGAUUGGUCAUCUGAGAUGUGUGAAACUCCUCCUUCGUUAGUCAAGUUCUAGUUUCACCUGACUGUCAAUUGCUGUAAUAAAUGUAUCAAAUGUUCCAAGGGAUUCAUAUAUGGUAUUCAUGGUAUUAUGUUCUUGACUAAUUUUGACAAUUGAACAGACUAUUGUGCAUGUGAUGACUUAUACAAUGAAAUGACGCUGACACGUUUUGGAGAGAACAACCAUUAGACUGAGAAUCAGCAAUCAGUUUAGAUCGAUAAGAUCUAUUCACUUGGAAAUUGUGCUAAAUGUAGGCUACAUGUACUUAAUCAUUUGCAAAGAUGUACUGAGACAUUGAGACAUGUACUUAGACAUUUGCAAUUUGAUGAAAUGAAUGAGAAAUUCAAUUCUGUUGUGAACAAUUGCCAAGUGGUUUGGAGGUUUGUCCAUGUAGUUUUGAGAAUGUAAUUUCUGUUUCAAGAAAUGAGCCAAACCAAUGGAGAAAAACUGUAAUGCAAUAUUCACUCAGAAAUUGAGCAGACGGAUUGAUUGGUUGAGACCUCUCAUUGUUUGGAUUUGAAAAUCCAACAUUUGUAAUGGAAGGGGGCGGUGCUCAGGGGCUUUGUGUGGCUGUGCCUGUAGGUGUUUGAGUGAGACAACAUCAAAACAGCCUUUCCAGACUCUAAAGUCAGGAGGACUUCGAGUUUGGUAUCAGCCAGACUACUGUCCCACAACCCAGCCAGUCAAUUUAUAUUAUAGCCUUAACUUCAUCUCCCCUGUUAAAAAGUAUCUAAACCAUUUUCCCCCAUGCUAUUAGGUUAGCAUUUCGUUUACAACAGUUAGGGUUUGUCUAAACCUUGCUGUCUGCUUCUCUGACCUGUGGAAGUUUUUUUGCGAUCUCCUCCGUACCAUGCAUAUGAACGUGACGUGACUGACAGUUUCUCUGAGCCAGGCAAAUUAAUUUAUCAGGAUCAUUAUAAUGGAUAUAUCCAAAGAAAUGGCAAAAGAAACAAACAAAUGUAAAACAAAGGAAAGUACACAUAGUUGCUGUCAUUUCAGCUGCUUUCUUUAGUUUGCUAGAGGAAAGGAGAAGUACAGUAGCUAGCCUGGAGCUACAUGGCAAUGAUUUGUUUAGCAUAGCAAUCAUUGCAAAAAUAAUGGAUAGAAUGAACGACCAGCCUAUUUGGCUAGCAACUUAAGACCUCAUAAUUAUUUAAAAAAUGUUUGCAUUUUAUCGCACCUACAGUAUGGCUUUUAUGAUCACAGGACAUUCCCCACUAAAUACACCCACACUCCUAUUCAAAUAGUCAUCUCUACUACUCAGCUGUCGUUGUCUUUUACCUUUCCUGAGGAAAUGCAGUAGAUAUUUAAUGAAGUGGGAAUGAGAUAUUGGACUUUGAUUCAUCACUGCCAAUGAUGUGCUUGAUGUUGUAUUUCCAUCACAGUAACGAUGAUGCACUGGGGACUCUGAUCAUGAUGUGUAAUUAAUUAAUGUAAAGGUUUUUCAGUUUGCUUUACUUCUUCGUCCAUAAGCUUUUUGAGGCUUAUAGGACUUCAGCAAAAUGAAUACUUUUUUUAUUCUUACUUUUUCAAGAAUUGUCUGUUCAAAAACAUACUGAAAAAUUGUUUGGAGUUUUGGAAUGGCAUCAUAUUUCAUGGCCAUUCUGUAGUACUUGUCAUGGAGUUGUUUGUGAUCACUGCUUGUUUAGCCUGUCACACUGUUGCCGUCGUGAGUAUUGUUUUGUUUGGUUUUCCAGUGGAUACUUUACUUGUUUUUUUUCAUCAAUAAACAUGAGUAUCCACAUUCCCGCUGCGCCUUGGUCCAUUCCUAACGACGGUUGUUACAUGGAGAUGGUCCAAAACAAACUAUUGUCUUACAGGUUCUUAGGGAGAGGCUCUGCCUCAUUUCACAAUGCCAU